rnacentral:rRNA from 1 species
AUAGUCGCGACGUAGUUGACUCCGUGGCCUCAGGACGAACGCUGGCGGCGUGCUUAACACAUGCAAGUCGAGCGGGGAGUUACCUUUCGGGGUAACUUCUAGCGGCGGACGGGUGAGUAACGCGUGAGCAAUCUUUCCUCCACUGGGGAAUAACACAGGGAAACUUGUACUAAUACCGCAUGAGACCACAGCAUCGCAUGGUGCAGGGGUCAAAGAUUUAUCGGUGGUAUGAGAUGGACCCGCGUCUGAUUAGCUAGUUGGUGGGUAACGGCCUACCAAGGCGACGAUCAGUAGCCGACCUGAGAGGGUGACCGGCCACAUUGGGACUGAGACACGGCCCAAACUCCUACGGGAGGCAGCAGUGGGGAAUAUUGCACAAUGGGCGAAAGCCUGAUGCAGCGACGCCGCGUGAGCGAAGAAGUAUUUCGGUAUGUAAAGCUCUAUCAGCAGGGAAGAAAAUGACGGUACCUGACUAAGAAGCACCGGCUAAAUACGUG